GACGAACGCUGGCGGCGUGCUUAACACAUGCAAGUCGAACGGGCCUGUCUUCUUUUUUGGGGGUGGGUUGAGUGGCGAACGGGUGAGUAUCACGUGAGUAACCUGCCCUUCGGUCCUGGAUAACCGCUUGAAAGGGCGGCUAAUACGGGGUGGUCCGGUUGGUCCGCAUGGGCUGGUCGGGAUAGAUUCACUGUUUUUGGUGUUUCGGCGGGGGAUGGGCUCGCGGCCUAUCAGCUUGUUGGUGGGGUGAUGGCCUACCAAGGCGGUGACGGGUAGCCGGCCGGAGAGGGUGGGCGGCCACACUGGGACUGAGAUACGGCCCAGACUGCUGCGGGAGGCAGCAGUGGGGGGUAUUGCACAAUGGGCGGAAGCCUGAUGCAGCGACGUCGCGUGAGGGAUGGAGGCCUUCGGGUUGUGAACCUCUGUUUCCGGUGGUGAAGGCCCUGUCCGUGUGGUGGGGUUGACGGUAGCCGGGGAUGAAGCGCCGGCUAACUACGU
rnacentral:rRNA from 1 species